CUGGAAAGUACCUUAACAGAUAACUUGGGAGAUUUCUAAUGCCUGGAGGCUGCUCCGUCUAUCCAAGUGGGAGCUGCAAGCAAGUCCUGCCUCCUCUCCGCCAUCUUAACCCCUCAACCAGUAAAUGUUUAAAGACACAAAUCUCAAGCCCUCUCAGUCUCCACUCUUCAAAAGUCCGUCCUUUCCUGACUUUACGUGGCAGAAAGACAAUCUGCCUUGCAGCAAGUUUAUGGAUAACACGGAGUUCCCCUGCAAUGAAUAUGUGAACCCUCUGUUCUUCAGGAUAGCACUUGGGAUGAUGUGGAGUUGCUCAGGCCAGGACCUCCAGUACCAUACUGAAUUGAAAUGGUAAGUGAACAUCUUUGUCUUAUUCCUGGUCUUAGAGUAAAAGCUUUAAACUUUUACCAUUGAGUAUGAUAUUAGUU
rnacentral:lncRNA from 1 species